CCCCCCGUGUGUGUGUGUGUGUGUGUGUGUGUGUGUGUGUGUGCACGUAUCCCCCGCUGAGCUGCCACCCACAAAGAAGGCUGAAAAGGAAAAAGGCAGAAAAGAAAGCCGCUGAUCCUCUGGGCCUCCCCCCAGCAAAGAAUGGCUGGGGGCGGGGCUUGGAGGGGCCAGCUUGGCCUCUGGAGGUUGGCAUCCCUGGGGGAGGCCUGAGUCCUUCCGCUCCGUUGAAACUCACCUGGGGCUCAUCUUGGCACAGAAGCUGCAAGUCCGGGCACGGCACCCUCUGGGAUCUCACUACCCUCACCUCCUCUGGACAUUCCAGACGCUCAGCGGUGGGUCACAGUUGGGAUCUAGAUGUCCUGAGUGUGCCUAUCUUUUGCGUACCCCCUUUUCCUUUUUCCUUUUUCCUUUUCCUUUCUCCUUUCCCUGUUCUCCCCUCUUGAAGCCAUUUUCUAUUCCCCUACCAAACUAUUGUCCACUUCCUGGACAGCAGCCCUGGGGUGCUUUCUCUAACACACCCAGCAGGCCUAAUUGCAAAAGAAAGAAAGAAGGAAGGCAGGGGCAGGGGGAGUAUGGGGGUGGGCAGAAAACAAAAAAUCCGAACCUCCUACCCGGACCCUUGAGCGCACCACAAACUAGCACACCUCAGCAGCUAAGCAGUAGGCUGAAGCAGGUAAGUGGGCAGUGUCAGCCCACCAGUUUGUUUCAGGAGACCUUCGCCCUUCGCCCUUCGACUUUGGCAGGCGUCGAUCCCUGCAAAUCAAUUCCUUCUCCAUCCUCUAGAUAAAUCUAGAACCAUGGAGCGUUCUAUGAUUCUAAAGAAGUGAUUUUCUGUGGAGUGGCAGCCAUUUUUCUUUUAAAUGGCGGUCGCCGCCUAUUUGAUUGGGGGAGCUGGUGGCGUUCCUUUGGUUAGUCUUCUCACGCGCGACCUGUUGAUGACUCGGAGUGGCAGUGCGCGGAGCUCCGUGGAGAAGCCGGUUAUGUAAACUGCUUGUGUAUUUCACAUUAUCAUCGAGCUAUCUGGAGGCAAUGUAGAUUUUCUAAAGAUCUAAUGAAUAAACAACCAGCAACUGCUGGCGGUGUAAUUUACAUUGUUAAUGCCUACAUAUGUAUAAUAAAUACGCAUUUGUAUGCUUUCAAAUAAACUCUUUAGUUUUAAACCUGUGGUGGUUUUUUUUUUUUUUCCGAAAAAGUAGGGGUGGGGGGAGUCUUCUUAAGAACGCAUGUCAUUUCACUUCGCUAGUACAAAUGACUGCGAGUUGGAGCCUAAAAGCGGGUCCGCGGUCUAGUUAUUUCUCCUACUCGGCGAGGAAGCAAGAUCCGCGCAAAUGUGACGCGCGCUGGACUCAAGCGGGGGAAAAAAGAGCGUGCGCCCAGUAGCUUGUAGCUUUGCGGGUAGUGUGGCCAGAGCGCUUCCUUGCGGAGUGGAACCCGGGAGAGAGACCAAGGACAGUGUCACCAUACCAUCCAGACAUCUUUCCUUAGCUGUCGCCUUUUCCCAAAGAGAAGCGUCAGCGACCCCGGACUCAGACCGCAACUUGGUUGAGGGAUUGGGGAUUGUUGAUGAGUCGACAACCCCUGGAGAGAAAGUUUCUCCAGGAAUUUCCAGAUAGAUGUUUUCCCGCGUGCCGGUUCCCAGAGAGCAUCUGGGACCAGUCUGGGAAAGGCAGGGAGAAAGCAAUGGGGUCUUGGGCUACACCACCCGACUCUUUCUCCUGUGGAGGGCAAAGGGCAGCCAGAGCAGGAAGACACCUAGGAGCCACGCCUCCUUGACCACAGGGUUGGGACUCAGCCCCCAGAGCUUGCUUUCUGAUACUGUGUACCCUCCCUUGGCCACCUAGGUCAGACCAGGCUUGGGCGUUUGAUAUCUUUCCCCUCCACCAACCAGGUGCCACUUCCUUAGCGCGCCUGAAGGCAAAUGUCUUAUCUUGUCCUGGAUCUGGAAUACAUUAUUUUAAUUAAGUCUUUGGCGGUUUACUUUCCUCUGAGAUCUGUUCCACGGUGCAAUUAGGAACGUAUUGGUGCUAGCUCGUAUGAAUAUUCAGGAGCGUGUCAAUUAAUUAGCAGACAGAGGAAUCUCAUUAUGGUGCUCAAAACCCUUUUAGUGUUAAGCAGAAUUAAGGGGGUAUUCGGCAAUGCACUGGAUUAGUGAAUAUUUUACUGUGCACUCAUUUAACUUCAUUAUCGCUGCACUUACACUACUCUCUGAUUUUAUUAAUUAAAUUGCUCAUUAAUUUGGCCAAAAAGGAUAAAAGUUUUAAUGCGCCACCCAAUAACUUGGAAAGUAAACUUUCGCCCC